rnacentral:rRNA from 1 species
GGAUGAACGCUAGCGGCAGGCCUAAUACAUGCAAGUCGUACGGCAACACAGUUGCGAGCAAUCGCAACCGGUGGCGAGUGGCGCACGGGUGAGUAACGCGUAUGUAACCUACCCUUCUCCGGGACAUAACUCCGCGAAAGCGGUGCUAAUAUCCCAUACCAACUCAUCAAGACAUCUUCUUGAGUUGAAAGCAGCAAUGCGGUGAAGGAUGGGCAUGCGUCCCAUUAGCUGGUUGGUGAGGUAAUGGCCCACCAAGGCUACGAUGGGUAGGGGUUCUGAGAGGAAAGCCCCCCACACUGGUACUGAGACACGGACCAGACUCCUACGGGAGGCAGCAGUAAGGAAUAUUGGGCAAUGGUCGAAAGACUGACCCAGCCAUGCCGCGUGCAGGAUGAAGGCCCUAUGGGUUGUAAACUGCUUUUAGCCGGGAAUAAACACCCGUUUUAUAACGGGCCCGAAGGUACCGGCUGAAUAAGCAUCGGCUAACUCCGUGCCAGCAGCCGCGGUAAUACGGAGGAUGCAAGCGUUAUCCGGAUUCACUGGGUUUAAAGGGUGCGCAGGCGGACAUUUAAGUCAGGGGUGAAAUCCUACAGCUUAACUGUAGAACUGCCCUUGAUACUGAAUGCCUAGAGUAAAGCUGAAGUGGGCGGAAUGUGUUGUGUAGCGGUGAAAUGCUUAGAUAUAACACAGAACACCAAUCGCGAAGGCAGCUCACUAAACUUUAACUGACGCUCAUGCACGAAAGCGUGGGGAGCAAACAGGAUUAGAUACCCUGGUAGUCCCAGCUGUAAACGAUGAGUGCUAGGUGUGGGGGGCGACAAUCCUCCGUGCCGCAGUUAACGCAAUAAGCACUCCGCCUGGGGAGUACGGCCGCAAGGCUAAAACUCAAAGGAAUUGACGGGGGCCCGCACAAGCAGUGGAGCGUGUGGUUUAAUUCGAGGCAACGCGCAGAACCUUACCAGGGUUUGACAUCAUACCGACGUCUGUAGAAACACAGAUUUCCGCUUAGGCGGACGGUAUGACAGGUGUUGCAUGGUUGUCGUCAGCUCGUGUCGUGAGAUGUUGGGUUAAGUCCCGCAACGAGCGCAACCCCUAUCCAAUGUUGCCAACAGGUAAAGCUGGGGACUCAUUGGAGACUGCCGGAGACGAUCUGGAGGAAGGUGGGGAUGAGGUCAAAUCAUCAUGGCCCUUAAGCCCUGGGCUACACACGCGCUACAAUGGCCGGUACAACGGGCAGCGAAGGAGCGAUCCGGAGCGAAUCCCAAAAAGCCGGCCCCAGUUGGAAUCGCAGGCUGCAACUCGCCUGCGUGAACAUGGAAUUGCUAGUAAUCGCGAAUCAGCUACGUCGCGGUGAAUACGUUCCCGGGCCU